GCUCUGGAGGGAAAGUUAGGACUAGGACGGCCACACUGCUGUUGACAGGAAAGAGAGGAGCAAAUGCUGAGCUGAGCUGAGACACUGACAUCUGAUACUGAAUGGAAAAACAACAGAUGAUGGCAAUUCUGUGAGGACAAGGAACAGGAGAGGGGAGAGAACCACAGAAGUCUUCUUAGGUGUGAACAGGAAGAGAUAAUCUCGAGUUUGCCAAAUCAAAAACCCAGCUCAUAUAUUGGGUGCCAGGCCACAAACACUGUGAUCUGCUUCUAAGAGAGUUACAGUUCCACAAAGCAGCCUUCAGAAAGACAGGAAAGAAAGCUGUGUACCACUGGAGACCCUUCCCAUGGUGCCAGUUACUGGGGAUCCCUGCAGUGAGUUCUCAGUCUCCUGGAAAGUGUUAUGGUGCACUUGGGAAGAAAAGAAAAGAUUAAGGACUUAAAAUGAUUGGAGUCCAGAGAAACAAUAGGCACAAAAGUCCAUUUUGCAGAUUAGGUAUCUGAGUUUUGGAGGAACGUGUGUUCUUCACAGGGCAGUGCCUGGAUCUCUCUGGCCUUGUGGGGAAGUUCAGCACGAAGCACGACUCAGGAAAUCAUGUAUCUUGAAUCUCUGGCCAGCGUCCUUCCAGAAGUAGGGCUGUCAAUUAACGAGCCUUUAAAAAGAAGAAGAAACUGGAAACCGAGCAGGGUUUAGGGCCGAUUUGUCCCAGUGGCUGUUGGUGUGUUUUCAAAUGUGGAAAUUUCCAGUUUGAAGGGUUUUAAUAUUUCCUAGACUUUCUAGUUGAAAUAUGGUUUCUUCCUUUCUAAACAUCAAAGGAUGCCAUCGCCACCCUUUCAUGUCAUUUAGAAGGAAACCAGAGAAGUAAAUUUUUGGAAAUAUUUUCAUCAGUGUUUGAAGGACUUGGACAGCAGCAAAUUGUAGUUCUUCCUGAGAAAUAUUUGCUUCUGUUUUUUAUGUCCAAAUAGUCAUUUAUUUGGAUGCAACGCAAGCGUUGAGACUGCGGCGAGAUCUUGAUGCCGCCCAGACAAACUUCUCAGUUUAGUAACAAGCCAAAUUCACAAACAUCGGUUCCUUGCCUUUGAAAUGAUGUUUAUAAAAAUAUUUUAUGAUUUAUUCCAGAAACCUUCAAUUUAGUGGUUGGGCAGUUUCAACCUCCUCACCAGAAAACUCAAAUGAAGAGAUCUACUAGAAUUUUAGCUUUAUAGUUGUGAUAGAAAUAUUCAGAGAACGGCCUAUAAAUAAACAGACAUGAGAGACUUUGGGCCAUCAAGAUUUUAUUCUCAGGUUUAUGUUUCUUUCUCCGUCACAUCAACCUAUGGCAUGUGGCUGAAGUAUGCACUUGUGACAAACUUCUAGCAAGUAAACAUGAGGAAUGGAAAGGUCUUAGCAGCUUAGUUGUUUUGUUGUUGUUUUGGUAAGUAUCAAGGAAUAGCUCUUCCUUCUGG